rnacentral:lncRNA from 1 species
GAGGGGCAGGAUUUCAUCCCCCUUCUAACCAGCAGUCCCUUCACAGGAGACUUCUGUGGCAGAGCUGCAAGAUUUCUAGUAAUAGGAAGGGAUACAGUCAAACAGUGCUUUAACUGGUUGGGUAGUGGCAUAUUAUGGACAAG